GUGCCAGCAGCCGCGGUAAUACCGGCAGCCCGAGUGAUGGCCGAUCUUAUUGGGCCUAAAGCGUCCGUAGCUGGCCUCGCAAGUCCGUCGGGAAAUCCAUCAGCCCAACUGAUGGGCGUCCGGCGGAAACUACAAGGCUUGGGACCUGAAGGCGCGACGGGUACGUCCGGGGUAGGAGUGAAAUCCCGUAAUCCUGGACGGACCGCCGAUGGCGAAAGCACGUCGCGAGAACGGAUCCGACAGUGAGGGACGAAAGCCAGGGUCUCCAACCGGAUUAGAUACCCCAGUAGUCC
rnacentral:rRNA from 1 species